rnacentral:misc_RNA from 1 species
UUUUGGCUCUGGGUUUUUUUAUGUGAUACUAUUGUUGAUAAUUGACAGAUUCGUUUCUGUCUUUGUUGUAAUUGUUUCUAGUUGUAUUAUUUUGGCGUAAACACUUUUUUCAAGUGUGUUUUUACUUCCAAAAUUGUUGUUACCGGUAAACGUUGCGUGGUCGCCAUUUGCAAAGAUGGCGGCCAUGUUACCGGUUAUGUCUAAUGGUUUAUUAUUAUUUCUCUUUGUAGAAAUUCUAUCAUGUCAGAUGCUAGUACAUGCCGACAACGUUCUUUUUCUCGCUGUCGGAAGUUCCUAUCGCGUGAUGGUCCUCAUGAGUUUUGUCCUUCAUGCCGUGUGCCUUGUUCGGCAGAGACGAGAUGCGAUGUUUGUUCCAAAUUGUCCGACUUGGAGUUUGGGAAUUACUUGACUUUGCUGUCUACUAGGGCCAAGAAGGCAGAGUCAACCCUGGCGGGGUCUUCGGCGCCGUCCAUAGCCGACUCAGUGGCCGAUGCUUUGAAGUUGAUGUUGCCUGCAAUGUUACAAGAGACCUUGGCAGCGAUGUCAGCAGAUCCACAACCUGAGGCGGAGGGGUUACCCUCCCUCUUCUGUGACAGCGGUUCCAAGUACUAAACCGGGAUCUAUGGCUCCACGGAAGUCUCCGGCGGCGGCCAAACAUUCAUCACGGGUGCCUGCAGGAUCCGGUGUACAGGCCGAGAAGGGUACUUCGUCGUCAAAGCAGAUAUCAUCUUCUGAUCACCGGUCUGAUCCAUCCUUGAAGGUGCGGGCGCACGGGUCCAUGGGUCACCGUGCCAGACGUAGUAGAAGUCAUUCACCACGGACUCCAGCGGCUCCAUCGGUUCAUCCAAGGAGGCCGCUGUCGGCUGAUGCGGUCUCUAUGGUUUCCAGGCGGGACUGCCCACGGUCUGGCUCUUCAGUAUCCUCGAGGGACCGUCCACAGUCCGGUACUACAACGGCCCAUGAUCUACCAGACAGACAUGCCUGCUCUCGAGUUCUCCGAGAUUUUCCAGAUGAAGGGUCGGGUCCAUCGGUGGCGGAUUACCCAGAGGCGACUGAUCAAUUGUCCUUGAGGGAUUGCCUAGCAGUUGUAUAUGACUUGCUUCCGUCGCUGCCUCAUCCACUGGCUCCAUCCAAGAAGGGACCAGUGCCGAUGAUUUCUACAGACGUGCUUCCGGAGGAUGUCGUCAUUCGUUCUUUGGCAGCGGGAACCUUGGUGUCAGAUGUGGCCUCGGUCUUGGACAAGACUUUUCUUGAUACAGCAUCUUUCGUGGCUUUUCCACACUGGUCAACUCGAGCUUAUCCAGUGUUUAACAUGCCGUUUCGGGAUACGGCUCCGGUGCUUGAUGAUGAUGUCCAGCAUUUAGGAAAAUCUUCCUCUGUAGAGUUGACAGAUCAGCAAGCCAUGUCUAUGUAUACGGCUCAACGGCGCUGUUUGUACGUUCUAUCGUACUUAGACGUCUUUUUAGCGGCGAUGGCUACCCAAGUGAAGGACUCCAGGUGUUACUCCUUGUUCCAACAGUCAGCCCAGAUGUUGUCAUACUUGACGUCGUCCAUCACAUUCAUGUCAACGAUGAUUACGCACCAUAGACGGCAAGCCUUCUUGAAGAAAUCAACAUUAGAUUCCCAAUGCAAGAAGGAACUGUUAGCGCAGCCAUGGUCUUCCUCUAAAUUAUUUGCGGGCAAGGUAUCUGAUGUCGUCACCGCCAACGAGAAAGAUCAACAAUCUUCGGCAACUGUGAAGGCUUUAUGCUGGAGUCCCAAUAAGCGCAAAAACAGUUUUGUGGCUCAACCUGCCUUCAAGCGCUGGAGAGGUUCCUUUCGGGGAAACUCUUCCUGACGGGUACCAGACAAGAAAUCGUCAGGGCCUCCUGCCAGAGGGAAGCCUUUCCGGCGUUGACACCAACCAGUAGAUUUUGGAUUGCUCCGGCUACCAAGACCUUCGUCUGCCCCACACUUUGACACAGAUCAACGAAUUUCAAUUGACGCUUCCGGUGUCUGUUACACCGGUCGAAAGGACUAUUGCCGGAGGCCGACUACGCCAGUUUUGGAAAACAUGGGAGACUUUGUGCGACGAUCAGUACGUCAUCACAGUCCUGAGAUACGGAUAUUGUCUGUCGACCCUCCCUUAACACGUACGCCCCGAGAGCGUCUGCACUCCGCCGCACAUGUAUGGGUUCUACAAAAUUCCGUCAACAAGCUCUUAGAGAAGGGGGCUGUUUGCAGCAUUCCGCUGUCAGACCUCACGCCAGGAUUUUAUUCCGACAUACUUCUGGUGCCCAAGAAAGACUCGGCGGAUUUACGGAUGAUCCACAACAUGGCUUUUUUCAACAAACAUUAUCUCCAGUCUCCACCAUCGUUCAAGAUGUUGACGGUCAGAGAUGUCGUUGCUGUGGUUCAUCUGGAAGAUUGGCUCGCUUCGCUAGACCUGAAGGACGCUUAUCUUCAUGUACCAAUCUAUGCCACCUGUCAUUGGUACCUGAGAUUUAUACUGCAAGGAAUCCAUUACGAAUGGAUGGUGCUACCCUUUGGGAUAUCAAUUGCUCCAUGGCUGUUUACAAGGAUCACUGCUCCAAUAUCGCGGGUCCUUCACAGCAAGGGUAUUUACUUUUACCCCUACCUGGACGACUGCCUGUUGAAACAUCCCAGUCAAGCUCGGCUCAUCCAUCAUGUCCAGUUUGUCCUGCAGUUCCUACAGUCUCUGGGGUGGAUUGUCAACCACGACAAAUCCCAGUUGCAGCCUACACAAGAUCUGCAAUUCAUCGGUGCACGUCUCCGCUCAGAUCGCGGUCUUGUGCAAGUUCCACUCGACCGUUGGAUGAAAAUCCAGUCCAUCAUCAGGAAGGUGUUUCAAGAAUGGCAGAGUCUGCUGGGGCUGUUGACGUCGGCGCAAGACUUGACUCUCAGACGACGCCUACAGCUACGACGGAUCCAGAUGUUCCUGUAUCCUUACAUUCUUUACCACAACCAAGCCUUGAUGAUUCCAUUGCCGAUUGACCUGCGGUCCAGUCUUCAGUGGUGGCAACGCCAAUCGAACGUCUUAGAAGGCAUCUCUUUGCGGCCGUUUUAAGCGACUCAUCAUCUGUUUGCAGAUGCGUCACUCGAGGGUUGGGGAGCACACCUCAAUGGCCAGACGUCGUCGGGGCAGUGGUCUGCAGAAGAAUCGGUGCUACACAUCAAUCUUCUCGAGAUGUUGGCGGUCUACAUUGCGAUCCUUCACUGGCGUCACCAGUUGAUUGGAGCGUUUCUCAUGGUGGCAACCGACAGCGUGACGGUGGCGGCUUACAUCAAUUGUCAGGGCGGCACACACUCAGACAGUCUUCUCCAGAUGCCUUAUUACCUGUACGAUCUGGUGGAUGAUGUACCUCUGCAGCUGCGAGCAAAACAUAUUCCAGGGGUGUCCAAUGUCCUAGCCGACAGUCUAUCUCGUCCGUCAUCGCCGCAGUCAACCGAGUGGAUGCUACAUCCAGACGCCUUUCGUUGGGUGUGCGAGCGUCUUUGGUCUCCGAACAUCGAUCUGUUCGCCACGAAGUUCAACCAUCAGCUUCAGGUUUAUGUAUCGCCAGUUCCAGAUCCAGAUGCGUUCGAUCUCGAUGCUCUCACCAUCAGCUGGGAUCAGAUGGAUGCAUACGCCUUUCCACCGCCGAUCCUGCUGCCUCGGGUGUUACAGCGGUUUCAACAAUACCGAUGUUGCCUGUUGCUGAUCGCACCCAUGUGGCCAUCAAGGGUGUGGUUUCCAGAUCUAAUCAGUCUCGCUGAUCCACAUCCGUUGCCUCUGCCCGAGUGGGCCAUCUACUGCGGCACCCCACAUCUCGGCUCUACCAUCCAAAUCCACGCUUGUUCCGGCUACACGCGUGGACCGUAUUGCCAGAGGUCUGAAGAAGAAGGGGUUUUCUUCAUAGUCUACUGCAGCAAUUUUGAAGGCUCAUCGAUCAUCUACUACAGCGGUCUAUAAUGUCUGAUGGCUGUGUUUUUAUAGAUGGUGUCUGCGACAACACAUUAAGCCUCAGAAAAUUCCAGUCCAUCAUUUGGCAGACUUUCUGAUGUACCUUCGGACGUCACUGAAGUUGAAAGGCUCGACGAUUGCGGGUUACGUCUCGGUCAUUGCUACUGUUCGUAAUCCGGCUACUGGAACGAAGCUCUCCAUCAUCCCUGAAAUUAAUAAGAUGGUUAAGAGCUUUAAAUUGGAGGAUCUAGUUCGUCGCUUUCAUCCUCCGAAGUGGGACCUGACUCUGGUUUUGAGGUCCUUGGUGGUUGCACCAUAUGAGCCGAUUGAAGAGUCCUCAUUAGAACUUUUAACUCGGAAAACAGUUUUUCUGUUGGGGUUUGCAACGGCUGCUCGAGUCUCGGAAAUUCAUGCCUUGGAUGUCGACCGUGUUAGAUUUCAUCGUGAUUGUUACUCGGUUUCCUUGGGGCUUCUAAUGAACUUUGUGGCUAAAAAUCAGUUACCUGAUCAACAGCCAUGAACGUAUGUGGUUCAUGCAUUAUCAUUUAUACUGGGUCCGGCCGAUACUGAAGACUUGACUUUGUGUCCGGUUCGUGCUUUGUACCACUAUAUUGAAAGGACUCGCUCGUUUCGACAACACCAGUCGAGAUGGUUCCUUUCGUGUCACCAGUCUCAUUUAAAAGACAUUACUAAGAACACUGUGGCUACGUGGAUUAGAUUGACUAUUCUGUUUGCAUACCAGAAGGAAGGUUUACCUGCUUCCACUGCCUCCAAUCCACAUGAACUGCGUGCACUGACCGCCACCAUGUCUUUGCACUGCAACACUCCUAUCCAGCACAUUAUUACUGGCUGUUACUGGGCGACGGACUCCAUAUUAGCGAAUUAUUAUCUGAGGGACGUCUCCACUGAGGAUGUCGAGGGCUUCCAUCAUCUGGGUCCUGUGGUGGCUGCGCAGACACUGGUGAACACUAGCCGUCCUCAUUGCUGUUGAGGUUUGCUGUUGGAUUCUAGACUGCACACAGAGAUGUCUACUGAAUCCACAGUUGCUUGUCCUGUGUGUGGGGUACCAGUCAAAGAGUGCUAUGUCAAUCUACACCUUGACAGGUGUCUACGAAACGAGUGCCAGCAGAAAGUAACUAAACGGAAACCUUUAACCAAGGUUGUUUACAAUCUUAUGUCGGAUAAAGAGCUUAAGAAGAAAUUGAAAGAGCUUGGUCUUUCUGUACAAGGAGACCGACAGUAUCUGUCUUGAUACAAGAGUUUGAGAAAAUGGAAAAUAU